rnacentral:lncRNA from 1 species
CUGGACCCUAACAUGUUUUGGCCAACCUUGGCAACUAUGGAGACAUCCAUUUCUGAAUUAGAUGGUCUGCACACUAUUACUCCUCCCACUAUAAAAUUUAAAUGAGCAUUAAGAUCUUCAGUCUGUAGCAUGUAUGAACAUGGUAUAGUUACAUAUGUCCAAAUGACGGGAAAAUUGAGCAAAAAUCCAGUUAUUUGCAGUAGUGUAUACAGCCAGUAGAGGUCACACUCUGAAAACUUUUCUUCAAGAUGUAGUUUCUUUUGUUUGAAUUUUAGUAUAAUGUUUAAUAACUUUUCAUGAACAUUUUCUUUAACUUCUCAAAUUACAUGUGGUGAGGAAAUCUGUGGAGCAAAUGCUGUUUCUGUUAACUCCUUUUGGUACUAUUACUGUCUGGAUCUGGCUUGUGAGGUUGUGCUUCCUUUCCAGGGCCUUUA